AUUGUUGGUUUUGUUUAUUGUAUGUUUUCCUCUUUUGCCAGUAUACACCUGACGUGUCUGCGUGCCCCCAUUGUUUUAGCCAGAUUUCUUUUAAAACACUUUUAAAAGAUGGCUUUUGAGAGAGAGAGGCUGAGAGAGAGAAAUAGGUUUCGGUAUACAUGAGAGAGAGAGGCGGUGGCGGACAUACGACGGCGGCCUUCUUCCUCAACCCGCUAGGGUUCAGGCACGCCAUUCAUUGUCACCGCCACAGGCAAGUGUACAUCUGACGCCUGAAACAACCACCGCCAAAAAAGGUCUUCGACAACGGCUUCCUAAAGCCCUUAAUCGCAACUCAUGCUUCAACAUCAACGUCACAGGUUAUCCAAAAAAAUGUAGGGUUAGCAUUAAAGAACGAACACCUCCUCUCCAAUUAUUGUUUUCCGAUAAACUGCCGGCCAAACUCUGGUUCCGAGGCUAUAGAAGUUCUGGCCGACAAAGGUCAAACACAUCGUCGGAAACGCUGAUGUAGUCUCGAGACUCGAAGUAAUCGCAGCAGGCGAUGGUAACAUGCCCAAUCUCAUGUUCACUGAUUUGUGUAUGAGAUAGUCCGGUUCCUGGGCACGAGAACCCCACUAUUCUGGCUUCUCAAACAACCUUUUGUAUCUCGGUUAGUGUCACCGAAGUUGAAGCUCUAUUUGGGUUGUUCAAGAUAAUAAGCAGUUAUGUAAUCGAUGAUGGAUUAAAUAAUAAGACAAUGGCAAGAGAACAACUACAAUCAGAAACUGUCAACGCUUUAUCAAGAACUGGGUCAAGGUAAGAAAAGCAACAAAGUCAACCACAAAGGCGACUACGUCUAACCUUAGCUUUUACCAGCAAUGCAAACACUGCGAAAAGGAAGAUGACCCGCCCAAGGGAACAAAAAAUCUUGUCUACUCGGACUUUCUAAGUGAAAUCGAGGUGAAACACUCGAAAUCAAGUAUAUUUAUGAAAUACAAGCUCAUAAUGUAGAGCCACUCGAAAUUAGAGUAACAAGAAAGUGAAACCUGUACAAAGUAGAAUUAUGAUUUUGUUUGUAGACAAGCAUGUUUGAAAAUACGGCUGCACGCCAACAUGGAUAUUCAAGAAGGCUACACCGAUCCUUAAUCAUACCACCUCCCCAUCGACAACCGAACUAUUGAAGAGCACACCAUUUCCAGCAUUACUCAACCCCUCCAACCAAAAGGUAAACACACGAACUCACUGGUACACACGUGGAAUGAAAUCUAGAUACCAUGAGACUCUGGAUUUGUAUAACAUGCAAUCUUAAUCGUUACGUUGCUUUUAAAAUAAAAGGUGUUCCAAUUUUGUAUUACAGUUUUUCGUUUUCUUUCUAAAAAUUACCCAGCUGCGCUGAUCGUAACUAUUAGGUAGACAGAACCUGACUUCUUUUUUUUUUUUGAUAAACAGUGAAAACAAUCAACACACCUAAUGUUUGGUCAACUUUAACGCAUACCUUAUUUUACAUUAUUGAACCAUGGCUGCUGCAACUCAUAUGUUGGUAUUUAUUUUUACUAAAAAUUACACAGCUAACACUCUGUUGCGAUUUGUAAUACCUUAUAUUUUUUUUUUGCCAAUAUGGUAUAGCCCAGUUGGUCAGGGGGUUUUCUACUAAGUGAUUUCCUUCUAGGAGGUCUCAGCUAGAAUUCAAAAUUCAUUUGAUUUGCCGUUCAAAAAAAUAUAUUUCUUUUUAGUUUUUCUUAAUCAACCUGAAUUUAAGUUUAAUAUUUUUAUAUUAUAAUUAUGUUAUUUUAUAAACUACGUUAUUGUUGAUGUAGAUUGGCGACAAGAGAGUUAAGAAAACGGUUAAUCGAAAACAAAGCAGGACAAACGAAUGAUAAGAAGAACCAGUCAUGGUAAAAUCUUAUGGAAGUUUGAUGUUACAUGUAAUAAAAGAAAAUUGACUUCAUCUACAGGAUCAACGGGUUGUACUUAGGUUUACUAUUCUUUUUAUAUGUUUAUUAGAUGAGGCCACUUAACUCAACUCUAAAUUUGUGUUUAUAUUUCAUAUUAUAGCUAUU
rnacentral:lncRNA from 1 species